GACGAACGCUGGCGGCGUGCUUAACACAUGCAAGUCGAACGGAAAGGCCCUGCUUUUGUGGGGUGCUCGAGUGGCGAACGGGUGAGUAACACGUGAGUAACCUGCCCUUGACUUUGGGAUAACUUCAGGAAACUGGGGCUAAUACCGGAUAGGAGCUCCUGCUGCAUGGUGGGGGUUGGAAAGUUUCGGCGGUUGGGGAUGGACUCGCGGCUUAUCAGCUUGUUGGUGGGGUAGUGGCUUACCAAGGCUUUGACGGGUAGCCGGCCUGAGAGGGUGACCGGCCACAUUGGGACUGAGAUACGGCCCAGACUCCUACGGGAGGCAGCAGUGGAGAAUAUUGCACAAUGGGCGGAAGCCUGAUGCAGCAACGCCGCGUGCGGGAUGACGGCCUUCGGGUUGUAAACCGCUUUCGCCUGUGACGAAGCGUGAGUGACGGUAAUGGGUAAAGAAGCACCGGCUAACUACG
rnacentral:rRNA from 1 species